rnacentral:rRNA from 1 species
GACGGGGGAUGCAAGCGGUAUACGGAAUCACUGGGCGUAAAGCGUCUGUAGGUGGUGAUGCAAGUCACUGGUGCAAAACUCUGGCUCAACCGGAGGAAAGCCAGUGAAACUGCAUGACUAGAGUGUGGGAGAGGUAGAAGGAAUUCCCUGAGUAGCGGUGAAAUGCGUAGAUACAGGGAAGAACACCGGAGGCGAAAGCGUUCUACUGGAACACAACUGACACUGAGAGACGAAAGCUAGGGGAGCGAAGGGG